GAUGAACGCUGGCGGCGUGCCUAAUACAUGCAAGUCGAGGGACAAGGCGAGGAUAUUGCUACUCUUACGGUAGCGGCGGACGGGUGUGUGACACAUGGAUACCACACCUCUUAAACUGGGAUAACUUCGGGAAACCGGAGCAAUUACCGGACAAUAUAUAAAACCGUAUGGUUCAUUUGUUAAUAACGCUUUUGCGGUUCCUUAUGGAUGGAUCCGCGCGUCGUUAGCUAGUUGGUAAGGUAACAGCUUACCAAGGCAACGAGUCGUAGACGACCUGACAGGGUGAUAGGCCACGCCGGAAGUGCAACACGGUCCAGACUCCUACGGUAGGCAGCGGAGGAGUAACGUCCACUAUGGGCGAAAGCCUGACGGAGCAACGCCACGUGGGGUGUGAAGGUCUGCGCAUCGGAGAACUCUGUUAUUUGUGAAGAGGAAGUGUGUAAGUAACUAUGCACGUCUUGACGGUACCCAAUCAGAAAGCAACGGCUAACUACGUG
rnacentral:rRNA from 1 species